CUUGGCACCAUUUGCUCAGUGGUCGGUCUGGGUAUUUAUUCGUGCGACUGCCGGGAGUAAUGUCAGCGGUUGCUUUUACGUCACAUUCUCUGAAAGAGGUUUUCCAAGCAGUUUCUCACGUUGUCAUUGACGGGCUCCUCCUCUGUGGCCACCUGGAUGCUGUAGGCCAGGAAACAGAGGAUGGCCCCAAUCCAGAGCAGAAUGGAGAAGCCACCGAAGAGCUGACGGCAGAACUUGACCCACUCCGGGUAGUUUCAUUUUAAUGGAGAGAGACAGAAUAUCAACCAAAAAUCCAGAACCAGAUUUUAGACCUGCACAAGGCUGGAAUGGGCUACAAGACCAUCAGCAGGAAGCUUGGAAAGAAGGUGACAGCUGACAGCUACGGAGGAGGAGCUUGUUAAUAAUCUGAAGGCAGUUGGUAGUCCAGUCACCAAGAACAUCAUUGGCAAGGCCCCCCUGCUCAAGAAGGCACAUUUACAGACCUGUCUUAAGUUACCAGUGAACAUCAAGAACAUCAAGAGAAGGCUUGGGAGAAAGUGUUGGGUUCAAAUGAAACCAAAAUCGAGCUCUUUGGCAUCAGCUUUACCCGCUGCGUUUGGGGGAAAAGAAAUGCCGAAUAUGACCUGAAGAUCACCAGCCCCACAGUCAAGCACGGAGGUGGAAACAUUAUGCUUUUGAGCUAUUUUUCUGCUAAGGGUAGAGGAUGACUUCACCACACCAAGGGGCCAAUGGACGGAGCCAUGUACCAUAAAAAUCUUGGACGAGAACCUCCUUCCCUCAGCCAGAACACUGAAGAUGGGUCAUGGAUGGGUCUUCCAGCAUGACAAUGACCCACAACAUACCACAAAGGCAACAAAGGAGUGACUA